rnacentral:lncRNA from 1 species
AAACGAGACAAGAGGAUUUACACGCAUGGAUGUUGCUGUGCUCGUAUUUCUGCUGAUAAUAUCAGGAGCAGGAGGAAAGCCAAAAUGACUUCAAGUGACAGCUCAGCUAUCCCACAGAACGACGAGUGAAUAGUCGGAGUAAACAGCUUAGGAAGCAAAUACAGACAGAAGAAUUAUUCAUCUCAUCCACACGGCAAAUUGCUUGGAAGAAAAAAAAAACAGAGAGGAGGAGCACAGCAGCAGGAGCUGGAAAUGGUGAUGACUUUACCUCCAGGGAAAGAUCUCCACUUAUCAAGAGGAGCUGAAGGCUCAUGGCCAGAACACCGACAAACUUCAGCUGGUGAAGACCAGAUAUUUUGGGUUUGGAAGCCGUGCCUGAUUUUCAUCAGAGUCUGGAGACAACCACAGCCCUGACCCUGACUCUCAUCCUCGAUGCUUUCUGUGGAUGUGUGAUACAGAUAAACUGCAACCAGCUGACUGGAUCCCAGAUUAUAAACUGUACUUCUGACAUUCAAAUUACUAAAAAUUAUUAGUUGUGUGCACAUCAUACUGAAACCUGAAUCAUCUGUGUAAACUAAAGGUUUCAGACAGUGCAAACCUGUGCAGAAGCGUUCCUGCUCUCUGCAGUGCUCUGCAGGUAGAAGUGAGGGCAGCAUCCGAGAAGCACACCAGCAGACUUUCUGUUGUUUUAUGGAUCACAGGGCUCAUCACAGCUCUCUGCAUUUAUCCAGUGCAAUGUCCUUGCUGUUUGCCUGCGUACUGAGGUCAUAAGGUUGCUGCCUCUGCCUGGAUAUGUCUCCUCUAGGACUCUGAAAUCAAACACAGCAUUUUAAUGAUGUUUCAUAUUCUUGGGGAGAGUUCCUUCCUAAAAUAACCCAUUGCAUGCAGUCAGAAGCAAGUAUCAUGCAUCAAAAUCUCAUUACCUCAAAUGAAAGGCAUGUAAGGAAACUGUCAUGUGAAGAAGUGCUUACAAGGAGAAGCAAUGUGCUGAAUUAGUUGCAAGAAAGGGUGAAAGUUGACCAUUGGGUCAGGGUAGGUUCUGCAAUUCGCUGGGGAAAGUUCAACACCAACAGUGACAACAGUUUAA